GCCGGGAAUCCGGGAAUGGCGGGGAGCGGGGGAUUUUCCCGCACCCUCCUCCCCCUCAGCGGUCGCGCCCGGGCCGCGGCGAUGGAGCGGCUGCGGGGCCGGGGCUGCCCGGGAUCCUCCGGGAGGCUUCAGCUCCUUGGGUUUAGUCCUAAACGUUCUUGUGCCUGAGCCCCCCCCCCCCCUUUUUUUUUUUCCGGCCAAAAACCCCUCGCCCCGAACAAUUGUUAAAAACAGCCCUGCAGCCGUGAGAGUGGGACAUGCGGCGAUUUCGGGGAGCACGAGGGUUGUUUUGUGCCUGGAUUUGCGGCGCGCUGCGUGGGCUCUCAGAGGGUGCCUUAUUUAAAAGUGCUGUUUACGUGUCUGCUUUUUUAUAGAGGUAAUAUUUUACUGAGUAUGAUAAUAAAGAGAGGACGCGCUGUUGAAGGUUGUGUGGCUGCUUUUCGUUGUGUCUUUUUAGCGGGAAAAGGGAACUGUCUUUAUUCAAGACAGUAGGGCGUCUGCAAACAGAAGUGAACUGAUACCUCUGGUACUUUUUAAUUCCAAACGAGAUGAGGAUCCCCUCUUUGCUGAUGGGAUUCCCUCGUUAUUUCUCCAGAAGAACUUACUUCACGAACUUCCACUUCGUUUCCAGAGCCGAUUUUCUGUGCAUUGGAUCUCUUGCAUCAGUGCACCACUGUCAUACAAAAUGGAUGUGUUCAUCAAAUGGUUUGAGGAGAGAGCUCUGUCAACAAGUAGCCCCUGAGCAGCAAAUAGAGGGACUUUCUGACAGAGAACAAAGACUCGUAGACAGACUUUACAAUGGACUAAUCCAGGGUCAUAGAGCCUGUUUAGCCGAAGCCAUUACACUUGUAGAAUCAACUCAGAGUAGGAAGAAGAAAGUAGCCCAGGUGCUCCUUCAGAAGGUAUUAUCCUACCACAGGGAACAAGAAAAAUUAAAUCAAGGAAAACCACUUGCCUUUAGAGUGGGGUUGUCUGGUCCUCCCGGUGCUGGGAAAUCGACUUUCAUAGAGUGCUUUGGGAAAAUGCUUACAGAAAGAAAACACAAAGUGUCUGUGCUGGCUGUAGACCCUUCCUCUAGUACAAGUGGUGGUUCUCUGUUGGGUGAUAAAACACGGAUGACUGAGUUGUCAAGAGACAUGAACGCUUACAUCAGACCAUCUCCAACCAGUGGGACGCUGGGAGGUGUAACAAGGACCACAAAUGAAGCCAUUCUGCUGUGUGAAGGAGGAGGCUACGAUGUUGUUCUUGUGGAAACUGUAGGUGUGGGACAGUCAGAAUUUGCUGUGGCUGAUAUGGUUGAUAUGUUUAUAUUGCUGCUACCACCUGCAGGUGGAGAUGAAUUACAGGGUAUCAAGCGGGGUAUAAUUGAGAUGGCAGAUCUGGUUGCUAUAAAUAAAGCUGAUGGCGAUUUAGUUGUGGCUGCACGAAGAAUACAGGCUGAGUACAUCAGUGCUAUGAAGCUGCUUCGCAAGCGUUCGAAGGUUUGGAGACCAAAGGUAAUGCGCAUCUCUGCCAAAACUGGAGAAGGUAUCUCGGACAUGUGGGACAAAAUGACCGAGUUCCGUGACCUCAUGCUCACGAGCGGUGAGUUGAUCGCCAAACGACGGAAACAGCAGAAAGUGUGGAUGUGGAAUCUCAUCCAAGAAAACAUGUUGGAACAUUUCCGGAGUCACUUGGCGGUCAAAGAUAAGAUUCCACUUCUAGAAGAAAAGGUUCUUAGUGGAGUCUUGUCUCCUGGACUGGCAGCCGACCUGCUACUGAAAGCAUUCAAAGAUAGUCUCUAAGCAUUAUUUUCUUACUCUGUUCCUGAUAAGUGCUUUAUGUAAACAUGAACAUUAAAUACUCUUUUUCUAUGUGUGGAUUCGAAUGUUUUACUACAGCAGACAUUAAUGGAAUGCCUAGCCACUACUCUGCAAAAGAAUACCACUGGAUUCUGUAUAUGGGAUGAUCAUGACAAAUCCAAGCACUCACUCAGAGAUUACUACAGACCGUAUUGGAAAAAAAGCACAAGCCCAGAUCUUCUAUUUGUACACACCAUAGAUCUGUUGAUAGGAAAUGGAUGCCCAUGUGAAAAUGUGACUGGUUUUGGGAGGGUGUGAGAGUAUUCUGGUUAUGGGGUCAUCUUAGGAACAGUUGACACUGCAGCUUUCCAAUGUAUUUUUUCUAAUACAGCAUCAGCUGUUGCCAGAAUGGAUUGCAUUUUUUAAUUUCCUCACCUUGAGUGACGGCAAGAACAUUGGACUGCCUGACAGCACUUGACCACAGUCUUAGUUUUAAAUAAAUUGUGUGCAUAUAAAUAGAACAUAGUGGUGUUUAGUCCCUGUUGGAAGCUAUAGUUAGUUAUUAUACACUGUACACAAGGAGAAGGGAAUUUUAACCAUCCCAAAAUAGAUAUUUUAAUACAAAAGCAAAAUUUAGUUAGACUUUUUUUAAAUGCAGACAUCAGAUGGAACAAAUGUUACCCAUGAUGUUUUAAUAGCAUAUGUCUUUAUACUAGAAUAAUAGAUCUCUAGAAAUAAUGGUUUGAGGUUUUUUGAUCUGAUUUACAUUUUCUGGAUUCAGACAAAAUGGCCAGUUGUGUUUUUGGUAUUUUUUCCUCUCUUCCAGAAGACAUGACUGCUUACAACCAAAAACACUUUUAUUUUUCAUUUUUCUUUGAGAAAAAUCUGGAGGAAGCAUUUCCCUAAGCCAUGAUCUAGAAAGCAGAGCUCAUCUGGCACCUACUAAAUGUGAAGGAUGAAGUGGAAAAGUGCUGAGUUUUGGAGACCUGACUGAAAAAACAGUAAAAUAUGAGAGUUUGUGAGUCUGUUGUUGCUUAGGUGAAUUAACUUUUUAAAACAUACAUUGAAAGUGGUGAUUUUCAUAGUUUUUGUUUUCUUAACUUGUACAUAAAAGGUAUGAUGUCUUUAGCUCACUUUCACCUGUUUGGCUUGUAGCAACCCAAUUCCAGCAUAGCAGUGAAUUGGUUUACUUAGGUCCUCUUUUUUCCUUAAUAUUUUUUUUCCCCCCAAAGUACUUUUUUCUCUUCUUUCCCCUUAUCCCAGCUGUUAUACUGUGCUCCCAACUGAGUUUACUUUUUCCUGCUAGGCCUCUGGGCUUCAGAAUUUUGAUUCCUUCGUAGGCAUAAUUUGGCAGUUGUCAGAAAAGAUGAAUGAUUUCUGAAAAUGCUGAAGAUUUUGUUUCAUUUGUUUUUCAAAGUGGCACAAAUUACACAAUGCAGAAGAAACCUCUAUCCUUGAUGCUAGUAUUCCAGUUAUUUUUACCAUUUUAUGAUGGUGUCUAUAUAAUAGUCCAUAUAUUUUUAUUCUAAAAAUACAAAGUAUGACUAGAAAGUAAAAAGCAAACUGCAAGGCAAAUUAAAAGUACUCAUUAAAAGCCUAAAAGUAAUGAUUCCCUUGUAUGUUUGCAGUGAAAUACUAAUGAAGGGCACUGUGGUGUUUUGUGGGGCAUACAGCUCAGGCAUUUCUUGGCUAAGAAGUCUUGCACUGGUGUAGCUGGUAUUAGUGGUUUCCACCACAUGAAUUGCAGAACUUCAGAGCCCUGACCCCUUAUUCUUAUUUCUUAAUCAGUAAUUUGGCGUUGUGGAGUUGGUUACAUAGAAGCAGCUGAGGGAAUAGAGGGAGUGGCAGAAGCACAGGCAGAAGCACAUUAUGACCAUGCUGAGUUGUGAAAGAAAUGUAGUGCUUAUAGUUUCUUUUUUAUUUAAACAGCCUCUAUUGAAUAUGACAGAGAGUGCCCCAAACCAAAAGUAAUGUCUCCUGUCCUUUCAGCUUUAGAUAUUGACUGUAUUUUAUGGUACCUAGUAGAAGAAAUGACAGUCAGGUGGAAAAUGAAUUAAUGAGAGCAGCAGCAGCAUUUUAACUGGUGAGUUCACAACUUUUUGAUAGUCCAUUUGUUUCAGGUGGCAGUUUUUGAGGUGACCUCAUUUGUGUUUGUCUGUUAGAUCAAACCCUUAUUAUUGUCAUUACUGCUGCUUCUGUCAGGGACUGCUGUUUUCCUUGUCUGUUAUACAUGAGCUGCCAAGCAAGUAAAAUAGAACCUGCAGCCUUGUUUAAAUGACAGCUGCUUAAGCAGAAAAUGUUUUGCCACUUGUUCAGUAUUUGUUUUCUGGUUGCAGGUCUGUUGAUGCACUCAAGCCAUGGGCCAUCAUUAUUUUCUCGUUUUGUUGCUUCCUUUAAAGUACUGCUAAUUUACUAACGAUCUCUUAGCAGAAGACAGUUCAAUGGCUUAAGCAGAGCAUUUCAAAUGCAUUUUCCUCUUAAAACAGAGCAUUAAAUGAAAAUCAGAUUUGCCUUCUUUAUGUGUUCGCUUGUGCCUCGUGCCUCAGUAGACACAGAAAUACCCUGAUACAGCUUGUAAAAUUUUGCUGUGCCAUGUUUUGGAGUCAACAGCUGUUCAAUUAAUUGUGCACUUCUGUUCAUGCCCUCACAGGCUGGGGAAAUGCAUUGUCUUCAGAAGGGCUGCACAGCUUUAGCUGGUAGGCUACAACUCAGUAAACAAUUUGGUAUUUCCCAAGAUAGGGAAGAGCAUUUCCAGCUCAUUAUUUUUAGCUCUGUGGGAUUAAGUUGGCUAAAAUGCAUUAAAAUAUUGUCAUUCGAGUAAACAGGCUUCUUAAAAACGCUAGUAAACAAAUCUGUUGAGUAGGAUGUUGACAUAUUCCUAGUUUGUAGAGUUGUUAAGUUGCUCUCAUGUUAACAUUUAAAACCACAGCUACUGCAGAAUAGUAUGGGAAGAUAAUAUAACUUUAUGAGAAAACAAUAGCAAGAUUAAGUUUGUAGCUGAAAGUAUGAUAAACUGUUAGACAAAUUGGGACAAUUUUUGUUAGACAAAUGGGAGGUAAGGAAUAAACUGUUCAAAUACAUGAACUCAUCUCCUGUGGAGUCUUACACUUUUCUGUAAGAGUGAAACUUUUCCUCAGGUCCCUGUGUAAUAGAAUUUGCUAGUGUUUCACAGCUGGAAAAAACAAGUGUGAUGAGAUCAAGUGAUUUACCCAGGACUCUGAAACAGGUCAGUAGGGUAUAAGGGUUACAGUUCAAUAGUCUUUUUACUCUGAGCCCCAUGUAUAUUUACAGCCACGUUACUUAAGGUUGAAAAAAUGCUCUUAGCAAGUUCAUGCUCUUAGUGUGACUUAUUCCCUUCAUAUCUAAUCUCUCUGUUUUCAGUGACAGGACCCAGUGACCCUUCUUGACUACUGUUCUGUUGUAAUGUCCUGCUUUAAGUAAUAAAAAACUUUUCUUUCAUA